rnacentral:lncRNA from 1 species
GAAUUCCAGUUCCCACAAUAUGCUCUUCAGAAGAUCAUUCUCCAGCCGAUAUCUAAUCAUGGGGUACAUAAGCAAGAAGAACAGUGACAAUUUGCAUGCUCGGCCCGGCCAUGGGCCAUUCGUAUCCGACAAAUAUGUGGCUAUGUGCCAACAAGGUCCCGCGCAAAAAGACGGAUCCUGUUUAGCACUGUAUGGCGAAUCUGAGAUCUAGAAUUCUAGCUUUCCAACAGGGGAACAGAUCACCCAAGGCGGAUUCCAAUAGAUACAAGUGAUCUUUGUCAGCCGAGCAACGAUGUAUGCCCAUUGUAGCACUCUAGUACACAUAAUUCCUGGUCUUGGCCAGGAAUCGUCAACAAAAGAAAGGAGAUCAAAUACCCACUGCAGUACAUCAGUGAGACCCUCUCCUGAUAAGGUCAUGCACCCUGAGUCAGACUAAUAGAAGAAUACAUUCCAUCAAAGCCCUACACCAAGAAACGAAGCUCGUCAUCCCCGGAAAUGAGAGAAUAAGAUCACGUAUCCUUCGAGCUUAAUCGAUCUCACCAUCCUCCGAGUCUGGACGUGAUUAUUGAGUAACAAUCAUCCUUCGAGUAGUUACGACCAAGAUCACCAUUCCUCCAAGGUCCUGCUACAGAUCUACAUCCGGCAGACGAAUAUCAUUGCUCACUGAAGCGUCAGGAAGUCCAUCUCCGUCAAACCCCACAUCUCUAGGAAAGAUCAACAUAGGUUAUAAGCCUUGAAAACAAACCUUGUCGUCCACUAAAACACAAGUUUAAGGUCUCGAAUCCUGCAAGAUCACUUUCGAACAGCUCCAGAACCUGGGAAAAUUUAUCAAGACCCUGGUCUAUCGUCUAGAAAAACGACUCUC